UGGUUUUCUUCAUUUGGUCGACCAAGAAACACUGGAACAAAGCUUUUCAACAUAUCGGGCCAUGUGAAUCAUCCAUGUACAGUUGAGGAAGAGAUGUCUGUUCCAAUAAAGCUUGUGAUUGAAAAGCAUGCUGGAGGAGUUCUUGGUGGCUGGGACAAUCUUUUGGCCGUUAUUCC